CGGAAUCACUGGGCUUAAAGCGUGUGUAGGCGGAGUGCUAAGUACCUUGUGAAAUCCCACGGCUUAACCGUGGAACUGCUGGGUAUACUGGUUCUCUUGGGCCACUUAGGGGCUACUGGAACAAACGGUGGAGCGGUGAAAUGCGUAGAUAUCGUUUGGAACGCCAAUGGUGAAAACAAGUAGCUGGGAGUGUGCCGACGCUGAGACACGAAAGCCAGGGGAGCGAACGGG
rnacentral:rRNA from 1 species